ensembl:lncRNA
UAUGUAUUUUACAUACCUAGUAUUAAAUGAAUUCUUAUAGAAGGAAUGCACAAUUGUAGGGAAAGAGUUUAACAGAAGUAAACUUUAUUAGAGACUCCAUCUGUCCAGAUGCAAAAUAGACUGCCUCUAAAUUACUGAACUUGUGAUCACUCGACAUUUUUAGCCAAAGGAUGAAUGACCAUCUGUCAGUGAUGAGGAUGUUCCAGAAGGGUUUACACAAAUAGUGGAAUGGAAAGUUGAUGGUCUCUAAGGUCUUUUCUGACCUUUAUAUUGUGUGACUUACAAAUGAACUAUAAUACAACUUUUUUAAAGUUAGAAAUGCCAUUAUUUCACAGAUAAUUAUUCUGAAAUACUACAGGAUGAGACCCAUUGAGAGGUUUGCGCAUUAAAUAAUAAUCAAUGAUUGAGUAAAACAGUGACGUUGAGAUGAUUUUCUUUAUUUUUCUUCCUUUUCCAGAUAAGGAUUUGAAGACACACAUUGAUUAGUUGAGGCAUUAAAUUGAAGUUUGGUCUAGAUUAAGAUUUAGAGCUCAAGAUUCAAAAAGCUUCCUUUGCAUGUUACAUGGUGAAACCUUCAAUUUCUUAAGCCAUAAGAAAAGUAGAUAUCACAGUUAUAUAAUGAGACAUUUGGCAUUUGAAAAUUAAAGAUGCAAAAGGCUUAAAUACUUACACAUUUUUGAAAAUAGGUAAGUAAAAUUUCUCCUGCAAACUUAUUUGAUGUUUUUCUUAUUUUCCAUUAAUCUCAUGAUUUCCGAGCUAAAAAAAAAAAACAAAACUUUUGUUUUCUCUUCACAGACCUAACAUUUGUUGACCACUAUUACAAAUUUUCAUUUCAUUUAAAUGAGCUAUGCAUUUUUUU